rnacentral:rRNA from 1 species
AUUGAACGCUGGCGGAAUGCUUUACACAUGCAAGUCGAGCGGCAGCACGGGGGCAACCCUGGUGGCGAGCGGCGAACGGGUGAGUAACACAUCGGAACAUGCCCAGUCGUGGGGGAUAACACUUCGAAAGAAGUGCUAAUACCGCAUACGUCCUGAGGGAGAAAGCGGGGGAUCGCAAGACCUCGCGCGAUUGGAGUGGCCGAUGUCAGAUUAGCUAGUUGGUGGGGUAAAGGCCUACCAAGGCAACGAUCUGUAGCUGGUCUGAGAGGAUGAUCAGCCACACUGGGACUGAGACACGGCCCAGACUCCUACGGGAGGCAGCAGUGGGGAAUUUUGGACAAUGGGGGAAACCCUGAUCCAGCCAUGCCGCGUGAGUGAAGAAGGCCUUCGGGUUGUAAAGCUCUUUCGGCAGGAACGAAACGGUGAGCUCUAACAUAGCUUGCUAAUGACGGUACCUGAAAAAGAAGCACCGGCUAACUACGUG